GGUCUGAUGGUCUAGAGGUAUGAUUCGCUCUUAGGGAUGGUUGUUCACUACAUUUGGGCGAGGUCCCGGGUUCAAUUCCCGGUCAGACCC